AACCCGAGGCCAUCCCCGCCGUGUCCCCAGCGCUGUCGCCAGCCCCCGGCCGGGCAAACGUCUUUGUGAGGAGCAAGGGGCAGAAGAGCUGAGGUGACACAAACAGAAGCAGAACCUUUACUGAGAUUUUUCCAAGCAGGAUGCACGGGACUGGUGCAAACUCAGCUUGACCCCUACCCAGCUGCAGUCAGGUUGUGUGACAUGGGAACAAGUGUCCAUAACA